UACGUAGGGUGCAAGCGUUUGUCCGGAAUUAUUGGGCGUAAAGAGCUCGUAGGCGGUCUGUCGCGUCGGAUGUGAAAACCCAGGGCUCAACCCUGGGCCUGCAUUCGAUACGGGCAGACUAGAGUUCGGUAGGGGAGACUGGAAUUCCUGGUGUAGCGGUGAAAUGCGCAGAUAUCAGGAGGAACACCGGUGGCGAAGGCGGUUACCUGGAGCUUUGCUGACGCUGAUGCGCGAAAGCGUGGGGAGCGAUCCGG
rnacentral:rRNA from 1 species